rnacentral:rRNA from 1 species
AUGAACGCUGGCGGCGUGCUUAACACAUGCAAGUCGAACGGAAAGGCCCAAGCUUGCUUGGGUACUCGAGUGGCGAACGGGUGAGUAACACGUGGGUGAUCUGCCCUGCACUUCGGGAUAAGCCUGGGAAACUGGGUCUAAUACCGGAUAGGACCACUUCUUGGAUGUUGUGGUGGAAAGUUUUUUCGGUGUGGGAUGAGCUCGCGGCCUAUCAGCUUGUUGGUGGGGUAAUGGCCUACCAAGGCGUCGACGGGUAGCCGGCCUGAGAGGGUGUACGGCCACAUUGGGACUGAGAUACGGCCCAGACUCCUACGGGAGGCAGCAAUGGGGAAUAUUGCACAAUGGGCGCAAGCCUGAUGCAGCGACGCCGCGUGGGGGAUGACGGCCUUCGGGUUGUAAACUCCUUUCGCUAGGGACGAAGCGUUUUUGUGACGGUACCUGGAGAAGAAGCACCGGCUAACUACGUG